GAUGAACGCUGGCGGCGUGCUUAACACAUGCAAGUCGAACGGAAAGGCCCAAGCUUGCUUGGGUACUCGAGUGGCGAACGGGUGAGUAACACGUGGGUGAUCUGCCCUGCACUUCGGGAUAAGCCUGGGAAACUGGGUCUAAUACCGGAUAGGACCACAUUUUGGAUGGUGUGGUGGAAAGUUUUUCGGUGUGGGAUGAGCUCGCGGCCUAUCAGCUUGUUGGUGGGGUAAUGGCCUACCAAGGCGUCGACGGGUAGCCGGCCUGAGAGGGUGUACGGCCACAUUGGGACUGAGAUACGGCCCAGACUCCUACGGGAGGCAGCAGUGGGGAAUAUUGCACAAUGGGCGCAAGCCUGAUGCAGCGACGCCGCGUGGGGGAUGACGGCCUUCGGGUUGUAAACUCCUUUCGCUAGGGAUGAAGCGCAAGUGACGGUACCUGGAGAAGAAGCACCGGCUAACUACGUG
rnacentral:rRNA from 1 species